rnacentral:rRNA from 1 species
AACGAACGCUGGCGGCAGGCUUAACACAUGCAAGUCGAACGGUUGUAGCAAUACAGCAGUGGCGCACGGGUGAGUAACGCGUGGAUAUCUGCCUUUUGGUUCGGAAUAACUCCGGGAAACUGGAGCUAAUACCGGAUGGUUCCUACGGGAUAAAGAUUUAUCGCCAAAAGAUGAGUCCGCGUACGAUUAGCUAGUUGGUGGGGCAAUGGCCCACCAAGGCGACGAUCGUUAGCUGGUCUGAGAGGACGAUCAGCCACACUAGGACUGAGACACGGCCCAGACUCCUACGGGAGGCAGCAGUGGGGAAUAUUGGACAAUGGGGGCAACCCUGAUCCAGCCAUGCCGCGUGAGUGAUGAAGGCCUUCGGGUUGUAAAGCUCUUUUGGCGGGGACGAUGAUGACGGUACCCGCAGAAUAAGCCCCGGCUAACUUCGUGCCAGCCGCCGCCGUAACAC